GGGCAUCUGACUUAACUGAAGAUAAUGAUCUAUUUUUAGAUGGCCUAUAAAAGAGCGGUGAUUUUGCAGUUUUUACGAAGAUGAUCUGGUUGACUGGAAGACAACCAAAUUUCAGGUACAGGCAGCAGGAUGAAAGAAUGGAGACUCCAGAGAGGAUGGUGCUUUGAUGUCAGGCAGCCUGGUUACCGUCUCAGAAGGCUCUAAUCGCCUGUCUGAGGGGGAAUAGAAGAGACUUUUUAAGACUGAGAAAGAAUGGAUGUCUAAAGGUUCUUCUUUGCAUAGCAGAGAUCCACAUCCAGAUUCCUUGAAGGAUCCUGAGGAAGAGCUUGGAGGGGAAUGGCUGUGUGGUGUAGUUGGAGAGCCUGAACUUUAGGCUCUGGGCCUUUCAGCUCUAGCAAAGAGUUCUGUGCCAAACUUGCACAGAAUCAGCACAGCUUUCUGAACUGAAGGGACUGGAAGUGCUCAGACAAUGAACACAUGAUUGGUAUGGGUUGAAAACAAGAGGGCUUGGUCCAAGUGAUGUGAGCUAGGUAAGUUCCCAGGGGCUUUUGUAUAACCUGGGGAUGCUCAGUAAGAU